rnacentral:rRNA from 1 species
UUACCUGGUCCGGACAUCGAUAGGAUAGACAGACUGAUAGAUCUUUCUUGAUGCGAUGAGUGGUGGUGCAUGGCCGUUCUUAGUUCGUGGAGUGAUCUGUCAGGUUAAUUCCGGUAACGAACGAGACCACAUUCUCCAUUUAAGACAUGGAAGUAGGGAGCCGGAAAGGUUGUGCUUCGGUGUAACCCUUUUGGUUCUUGUUGGUAGAUAAAAUUUUUCUGGUAGUUUAGCAAAGGGAGCAAUCUUGAUGCGAAGGCUGCCAGGGAGGUUUUAUUUCCCUUUCAUUUAGCAGUGUCUGGUCUCGGCUGGGCGCUGUCUUAUGGAGAGACAACGAGGUAUAUAUAAGCUCGAGGAAGAGUGGCUAUAACAGGUCAGUGAUGCCCUUCGAUGUUCAGGGCUGCACGCGCGCUACAAU